rnacentral:rRNA from 1 species
CGUUGAGAAGUUCGUUGUGCAAAUCAAUGCAUCUUGAAAAUUAGAUCUUACUAAUUUAGUUAAAUAUGGUUUGUAUAAAUUUGAAGGGUAAUAAAAGGAUUUUAAAAUAUUAUUGUUUUAGUAGAAUGAAUCGAAAAAGCAUAUAAAAGAGUUAUAGAGUAAAGUACUGUAAAGGAAAGAUGAAAUAAAUUGAAAAUUUGAUUGAUAAAAAGUAGAAUUAAAUAUUCGUACCUUGUGUAUUAGGGGAAAUCAAAAUAAUCUUGUUAAAUUAAGUAUUCCCGAAAAAGAAAGAGCUAACGCAGAUAAAUAGUUUUCAUAUCAAUGAAAUUAUAAAAUUUGUGUUAGUAGUGAAAUGCUAGACGAUUUCUUAUAUCUGGUUGUUAGAGAAUUAAAUUCAAUUUAGUUAUUUCGAGGUAAAUAAAACUUUGAAAUAAGAAAGAGUAGGAGGGAAAAGCUUCUUAUUCUAAUAAUAGGUAAAUUAUAAUAAAAAGAAUUAAAAUAUUAUUGAAUUAGGCUUAAAAACAGCUAUAUU